rnacentral:rRNA from 1 species
GCUCGAAAAAAGAAUUUUAGUUCCGCUCAAAGUUAUCUUAAUAUAUUAAUAUAAAACCUUAACUUUGAAGUAAUUCAAAUAAGGUACAGCCUAUUUGAAACAGGAUUCAACCUUCAACAACGGGUAAUUCACUAAACAUUAAAUCAAGUGGGCCUAAAAGCAGCCACCUUAAAAAAGCGUCAAAACUUAAUUUAUUUUUACCAUAAUAACCUAAUUUUUAUUGACCCCUUCAACCCCAUCGAGCACUUCUAUAUAGCUAUAGAACUUUUUAUGUUAAAACUAGUAACAAGAAGAAAUCCUUCUCUUCAAUGUAACUUUAACUCAGCAAGGACCCACCACUGGCAAUUAACAACUUCAACAAAGUAAUACCACCCCCAGAAAACCUUACUUUUUUCAUUGUUAACCUAACACAAGAACAUUUCAAGAAAGAUUAAAAGAAAAAGAAGGAACUCGGCAAAUGUCAGCCCCGCCUGUUUACCAAAAACAUCGCCUCCUGCUCUAAUAUAGGAGGUCCAGCCUGCCCAGUGACUCUUGUUUAACGGCCGCGGUAUCCUAACCGUGCGAAGGUAGCGUAAUCACUUGUUUUUUAAAUAGAGACUAGUAUGAAAGGCACCACGAGGGCCAAACUGUCUCCUUUUUCUCAUCAGUGAAACUAAUUUCCCCGUGAAGAAACGGGGAUUCCCUUAUAAGACGAGAAGACCCUAUGGAGCUUUAAACUUUACAGCACUUGCACCUCCACAAUCUCACUUUCAGAAAUCUACCUCAUCACCAACAUACUGCCUUACAGUUUUCGGUUGGGGCGACCACGGAGUAAAAAUUACCCUCCGUAAUGUAAAGACUUCAUCUUUAGUAAAAAGCCACAGCUUUAUACAACAGUAAACUGACAUGCAUUGACCCAAAAUAUUGACCAACGAACCAAGUUACCCUAGGGAUAACAGCGCCAUCCACUUUGAGAGUUCCUAUCGACAAGUGGGCUUACGACCUCGAUGUUGGAUCAGGGUAUCCUAGUGGUGCAGCCGCUACUAAUGGUUCGUUUGUUCAACGAUUAAAACCCU